GUAUAUUAAUAAUAAGAAUAAUAAGAUUAUUUAAUUAGUAUUGAUCAAGAAUUAAUCUAGGAUUAAUUAAGUGAUCAAAAGAAGACUAAUUAAAUAUAUGGGUUGAUUGUGUAAAUCAUCCAUACUUGUAUAGUGGGCUAAUGGAUAAUCAAGUUGGGCUAAAACCCAUAGGAUGGUCCAUGGAUGCUCCAUGGUGUAUUUGAACCCAUGGAUCCAAGGAAAUGGAAAGUCAUGACAAUUAGGGUUUUCCCUAAUUGUAUAACUAUAUAAGCAUCUUAUUAUUGAGGAAAAAUCGGCCACUAGAGAUAGUGAAGAAAGGGCUAGCCGAUUUUGAAGAGUGUAGAAUUCUCUCAAAUCAUUCCAAGUGUUUUGAUGAUUGUGAUUCCAUUUGAGGUGUCACACUUGGGGCACUAGGCACUCAAGCUUCAUGAAGACUUUCUACAUCAAAGAGGUAUGUAUUCUAUCUUGCUAUAGUCAUUGUUUUGUAUGCUAGAUUAGGAUAAUACCUUGGAAGUUCUUAUUUGCAUGUAUAAUAGAGAAAACAUAGAUCCAAGGUAUUUAGGGUUGCAUGUACACUUAGGAAGUGUUAGAAUGCUCAAAAACCCAACAGAACCUUCUUAGGUACCAGAGGAACUCCCUUCAGCAAUCCAGGGGGAACCUCUCCAAACUUAUCAAGAAAACGUCAUGAUCGCUCCAACAAGUCAAGAUGUUUCCACAGGCUGUUCACAAAUCCAGGGGGAACUUCCUUCUCCGUCUGAAGCAACCUCUGAUAUUGAAAACAUUCCUUCUACCGCAGCUACUAACCAUCUGAUGCCUCGUCUACACGUAUGGACGAAGGAUCACCCACCAGGUCAAAUUAUUGGCAACCCAUCCGCAGGUAUUCAAACUCGAUUUGUCAAAUAUUUAUCUGAUCAUUGUCACUAUGCAACAUUUAUGUUCGCAGUCGAGCCUCGAUCUAUAAAUGAAGCAUUAUUGGAACUAGAUUGGAUUUCUACAAUGCAAGAAGAACUAGAAGAAUUUGAAAGAAACAAAGUGUGGCAACUUGUUUCCAUACCGCAAGGCCAUACUAUUGUUGGAACAAGAUGGUUGUUCAAGAACAAGCUAGAUGAAUCUGGUGCGGUUAUCCGAAACAAGGCAAGACUAGUUGCAAAAGGGUAUAGUCAACUGAAAGGCGUUGACUAUGAUGAAACAUAUGCUCCGGUGGCAAGAAUGGAAGCAAUUUGAAUCUUUUUAGCAUAUUCUUCCCACAAGAACAUCAAGGUACACCAAAUGGAUGUUAAAAGUGAUUUUAUCAAUGGGAAAUUGAAAGAAGAGGUUUAUUUGCAACAACCUCCCAGUUUUGAAAAUAUUGAAUUUCCUGACCACUGCUACAAGCUUCAAAAGGCAGUCUACGGUCUAAAGCAAGCUCCUGGAGCUUGGUAUGAGACUCUUUCUGAAUUCUUAGUCUCUUCAGGCUACAAAAGAGGAGUGAUUGAUCCCACGCUAUUUAGAAAAGCAAAUGGUACUCACCUUAUGCAUGUACCAAUAUACAUGAAUGAUAUCAUCUUCGGAUCAUCAGAUCAAGGAAUGGUGGAUGAAUUUGCUAAGCUCAUGACAAACAAAUUCCAAAUGAGCAUGAAUAGAGAAAUUAAUUUCUUUCUAGUCUUCAAGUCAAACAAAUUCAGCAAGGAAUAUUCAUUCAUCAAGAAAAACACACCACUGAACUCUUGAAGAAAUGCUCUAUGGGUAACUGCUCCUCGACUAAGGUUCCUAUGGCCUUCGGAUAUAAGAUCUCUGUUGAUCCCUCUGGAAAAUCUGUGGAUCACAAGACUUAUAGAGGUAUCAUUGGCUCUCUUAUGUACCUCACUACAAGACGACCAGACAUUGUCUUUGCUACUGGUGUAUGUGCAAAGUAUCAGGCUAACCCAAAAGUGUCACACAUGACCGCAGCCAAACAAAUUCUCCGGUACCUGAAAGGAAGCAAAUCCCUUGGUCUAUGGUACCCCACAUGCAAUGACUUCAGUCUUCAAGUGUUUACCGAUGCAAAUCAUACUGGAUGUAAACUUGAUUGAAAAAGUACAUCUGGUGGAUGUCAAUUUUUGGGAGGUAGACUUGUCAGCUGGUCCUCAAGAAAACAAAGUUGUGUUUCUUUGUCUACCAUAGAAGCAGAAUAUGUGGCCGCAACCAAUUGUUGUUCUCAAGUUCUAUGGAUGAAGACUCAACUAUUAGACUACGGUUACAGAAUGCUGCGGAUACGAAUCUACUCUAAUUCUGAAAGUGCCAUAACGAUUUCUCAUAAUCCUAUUCAGCACUCCAAGACAACACAUAUUGAACUACGAUAUCAUUUCAUCAAAGACCACAUUCUGAAAGGUAACAUCGAACUCAUCUUUUCCCUACUCAUAAAGAGAUUGCUGAUGUCUUUACAAAAACACUUGACUCUACCAAACUCAAUGCGUUCUUACAAAUGUUAGGGAUGAUGAAUCCGGACCCCCAAUUCUUCUUGAAUUGAUACGUACCGCAGACCUUCUUGGUCUCCAUUGCGGUUCUAGAUGAAAGACACUUAUAACAGAUGGUUUUGGUAUAUUAUGUGUACCGCAAUCAAUGUACCGCAACCAUAUAUUAUAUUUAUCUUUCAUGGGUCUUUCUUGUUUGUUGUUACUAACUUUUGUACAAGUUCUCUACUCAGUUUCUCCUACUGCAAUCAUCCGUAAUGCCAAGGAAACCAUCCGCAAUGAUCAGUUCGUCCGCAGUCACAAUAAUUGUUUUACAGACGGUUCAUUUUUUUUUGAAAAGCAAAAAUAGUGUGCUAUUUAAUGAUCCUUCAUUAAAUAAAAAAUUAAAUAAAAACAUUCCUUUGAGAAACUGUCACAUUCUUUUCUCCCAAAACCUCGUGUCACACCUAUUUUAGGUAUGAUGACAAAAUAAAAAAUUUUCCAAAUCAAAUCCUCUAAUAUGUCUUUUCCACUUACCCCCAAGCCAUCACAUCCGUUACAACUUCUACUUUAUCCAACGGAUUUAUUUCACCCCCUGUUGGAUUAAUGUCUAAGUCCAUAACUAUAUUUGGUAAGACUUGACCCGACCCGGCAUGGUCCAUUUGGGUUGCAUACCAUCAUGCACUUGGAUAGACUAUAAUGAGAGAAAUAAGACACUUAUGGUUAUUAAUAUAUUAUAAGUUCUAGUAUAUUAAUAAUAAGAAUAAUAAGAUUAUUUAAUUAGUAUUGAUCAAGAAUUAAUCUAGGAUUAAUUAAGUGAUCAAAAGAAGACUAAUUAAAUAUAUGGGUUGAUUGUGUAAAUCAUCCAUACUUGUAUAGUGGGCUAAUGCUCCAUGGAUAAUCAAGUUGGGCUAAAACCCAUAGGAUGGUCCAUGGAUGCUCCAUGGUGUAUUUGAACCCAUGGAUCCAAGGAAAUGGAAAGUCAUGACAAUUAGGGUUUUCCCUAAUUGUAUAACUAUAUAAGCAUCUUAUUAUUGAGGAAAAAUCGGCCACUAGAGAUAGUGAAGAAAGGGCUAGCCGAUUUUGAAGAGUGUAGAAUUCUCUCAANCAAGUGUUUUGAUGAUGUUGAUUCCAUUUGAGGUGUCACACUUGGGGCACUAGGCACUCAAGCUUCAUGAAGACUUUCUACACCAAAAAGGUAUGUAUUCUGUCCUACUAUAUUCAUUGUUUUAUAUGCUAGAUUAGGAUAAUACCUUGGAAGUUCUUAUUUGCAUGUAUAAUAGAGAAAACAUAGAUCCAAGGUAUUUAGGGUUGCAUGUACACUUAGGAGUGUUAGAAUGCUCAAAACCCAACAGUGGUAUCAGAGCCUAGGCUUGUUUUCUUGUUAUACUUGCAAAACUGCUUAAAAAAUCGAAUUUCUUGCUGUCUGAUCAUCAGACUCGGCGAGUCCAUCAGGAGACUCGGCGAGUCCAUGCCUAAAAAGUGAUGAAUUCGAUCCAACUCGCCGAGUUGGUUCAUGCACUCGACGAGUUGGACCCCCAGACAGCAUAUUUUCGAGUUUUUUGGCUAGAAAUGGACUAGGAACAUUACCCUAAGUUGUUUUUGAACUUAUAAACUUGUUUUUGAUGUGGUAAUGUUCAUGCUAAUCCAU
rnacentral:lncRNA from 1 species